AACGAACGCUGGCGGCAGGCUUAACACAUGCAAGUCGAACGGACUGUAGUGUAGCUUGCUACAUUGCAGUUAGUGGCAGACGGGUGAGUAAUGCGUAGGAAUCUACCUGAUAGUACAGAAUAGCCAUUGGAAACGAUGGGUAAUACUGUAUAUUCCCUAAGGGGGAAAGAUUUAUCGCUAUCAGAUGAGCCUGCGUUAGAUUAGCUGGUUGGUAAAGUAAUGGUUUACCAAGGCUAUGAUCUAUAGCUGGUCUGAGAGGACGGCCAGCCACACUGGAACUGAGAUACGGUCCAGACUCCUACGGGAGGCAGCAGUGGGGAAUAUUGGACAAUGGGCGAAAGCCUGAUCCAGCCAUGCCGCAUGAGUGAAGAAGGCCUUAGGGUUGUAAAACUCUUUUAGCAGGGAAGAUAAUGACGGUACCUGCAGAAAAAGUCCCGGCAAACUCCGUGCCAGCAGCCGCGGUAA
rnacentral:rRNA from 1 species